CCUACGGGUGGCAGCAGUCGACAAUCAUUCACAAUGGGGGAAACCCUGAUGGUGCGACGCCGCGUGGGGGAAUGAAGGUCUUCGGAUUGUAAACCCCUGUCAUGUGGGAGCAAAUUAAAAAGAUAGUACCACAAGAGGAAGAGACGGCUAACUCUGUGCCAGCAGCCGCGGUAAUACAGAGGUCUCAAGCGUUGUUCGGAAUCACUGGGCGUAAGGCGUGCGUAGGCUGUUUCGUAAGUCAUGUGUGAAAGGCGCGGGCUCAACCCGCGGACGGCACAUGAUACUGCGAGACUAGAGUAAUGGAGGGGGAACCGGAAUUCUCGGUGUAGCAGUGAAAUGCGUAGAUAUCGAGAGGAACACUCGUGGCGAAGGCGGGUUCCUGGACAUUAACUGACGCUGAGGCACGAAGGCCAGGGGAGCGAAAGGGAUUAGAUACCCUAGUAGUC
rnacentral:rRNA from 1 species